GGGGAUGUAAGUUUCGACAGAGUUCAUUUCAAAUUAUACGCAAGUGGUAGAUGGAUAUCACUACCUAAAUCAUUAUCCAAAAUUAUAAUUGCUAAAACCAAUUAUUCAGGCGCUUUAGCUUUCGCUUAGCAGUUCUCGCCCGUUUUGGGCGAAGCUCGCUCAUAAUAUGAGCGGCCCGUUCUCUUGGAAAUUCUCGCUAUCCAUGAAGGACGCCAUUAGCGGGAUACUGGUAUCGGCAUCUUGGUGUGUUCUUGGCUCGAUAUCGGGAAACUAACAGAAUGCUGGCCUAGUGCUUUUGUCGGCUUUAAAACUGGGCAAUAACAAACCGGCUAAACUUGUAGAAUAUAAUUUGAUAAAACUUUGGACGGGGUUUCAAUACCCCCAUCUCCACUG
rnacentral:tmRNA from 1 species